CUGAUGACUCGCGCUUACUAG
rnacentral:siRNA from 1 species